CCUGAUAAUCGAGGUCUUCCUAUUGAACCAGUUAUUCAAUUGCUUUGUUUAAGAUAUUAUGCUACCAGCAGUUUUCAAAAAGUAAACGGAGAUCUUAUGAAAUUACCACAACCAACAAUUAGUAGAAUUAUAUUUAGA